UGAGUGAACUCAUUCUGCAUUCCC
rnacentral:piRNA from 1 species